rnacentral:rRNA from 1 species
GACGAACGCUGGCGGCGUGCUUAACACAUGCAAGUCGAGCGGUAAGGCCCUUUGGGGUACACGAGCGGCGAACGGGUGAGUAACACGUGAGUAAUCUGCCUUUGGCUUGGGAAUAACUUCGGGAAAUCGGGGCUAAUGCCUGAUGUUUACUGUCUGCUGCAUGGUGGGUGGUGGAAAGAUUUUUUGGCCAGGGAGUGAGCUCGCGGUCUAUCAGCUUGUUGGUGGGGUAAGUAGGCGUUACCAAGGACGUUUGUACGGGUAGGCCGGCCCUGAGAGGGUGUUCGGCCACACUGGGACUGAGACACGGCCCACGA